rnacentral:tRNA from 1 species
CGGGGCGUGGCGCAGCUUGGUAGCGCACCUGAAUGGGGUUCAGGAGGUCGAGCGUUCGAAUCGCUCCGCCCCGACCA